ACCAGGAUGGCCGAGUGGUUAAAGCGUUGGACUUAGGAUCCAAUGGACUUAGGAACUGUGUGGGUUCAAACCCCACUACUGGUA